GAUGAACGCUGGCGGCGUGCCUAAUACAUGCAAGUCGAGCGAACAGAUGAGGAGCUUGCUCCUCUGACGUUAGCGGCGGACGGGUGAGUAACACGUGGAUAACCUACCUAUAAGACUGGGAUAACUUCGGGAAACCGGAGCUAAUACCGGAUAAUAUAUUGAACCGCAUGGUUCAAUAGUGAAAGACGGUUUUGCUGUCACUUAUAGAUGGAUCCGCGCCGCAUUAGCUAGUUGGUAAGGUAACGGCUUACCAAGGCAACGAUGCGUAGCCGACCUGAGAGGGUGAUCGGCCACACUGGAACUGAGACACGGUCCAGACUCCUACGGGAGGCAGCAGUAGGGAAUCUUCCGCAAUGGGGGAAAGCAUGACGGAGCAACGCCGCGUGAGUGAUGAAGGUCUUCGGAUCGUAAAACUCUGUUAUUAGGGAAGAACAAAUGUGUAAGUAACUAUGCACGUCUUGACGGUACCUAAUCAGAAAGCCACGGCUAACUCCGUG
rnacentral:rRNA from 1 species